rnacentral:rRNA from 1 species
GACGAACGCUGGCGGCGUGCUUAACACAUGCAAGUCGAACGGAAAGGCCCUGCUUUUGUGGGGUGCUCGAGUGGCGAACGGGUGAGUAACACGUGAGUAACCUGCCCUUGACGUUGGGAUAACUUCAGGAAACUGGGGCUAAUACCGGAUAGGAGCUCCUGCUGCAUGGUGGGGGUUGGAAAGUUUCGGUGGUUGGGGAUGGACUCGCGGGUUAUCAGCUGGUUGGUGGGGUAGUGGCUUACCAAGGCUUCGACGGGUAGCCGGCCUGAGAGGGUGAACGGCCACAUUGGGACUGAGGUACGGAGCAGACUCCUACGGGAGGCAGCAGUGGGGAAUAUUGCACAGUGGGCGGAAGCCUGAUGCAGCAACGCCGCGUGCGGGAUGACGGCCUUCGGGUUGUAAACCGCUUUCGCCUGUGACGAAGCGUGAGUGACGGUAAUGGGUAAAGAAGCACCGGCUAACUACGUG